UACGGAGGGUGCGAGCGUUAAUCGGAAUUACUGGGCGUAAAGGGUGCGUAGGUGGUUAAUUAAGUUAUCUGUGAAAUCCCUGGGCUCAACCUGGGCAGGUCAGAUAAAACUGUUUAACUCGAGUAUGGGAGAGGGUAGUGGAAUUUCCGGUGUAGCGGUGAAAUGCGUAGAGAUCGGAAGGAACACCAGUGGCGAAGGCGGCUACCUGGCCUAAUACUGACACUGAGGCACGAAAGCGUGGGGAGCAAACAGG
rnacentral:rRNA from 1 species